UACGUAGGGGGCAAGCGUUGUCCGGAUUUAUUGGGCGUAAAGAGCGUGUAGGCGGCUUGGUAGGUCCGCUGUGAAAACUCGAGGCUCAACCUCGAGAUGUCGGCGGAAACCACUUGGCUAGAGUCCGGAAGAGGGGAGUGGAAGUUCCCGGUGUAGCGGUGAAAUGCGCAGAUAUCGGGAAGAACACCUAUGGCGAAGGCAGCUCUCUGGGACGGUACUGACGCUGAGACGCGAAAGCGUGGGGAGCGAACAGG
rnacentral:rRNA from 1 species